AUAAGAGACGCUACGUGUCCAUUUUUGGUUGGCCAAGAGAAUAAUAGAAAAGGGCAUUCCUCUAAACUCGAUUUCUUUUCCUCUCUUCUCUCUCUCUUUCUCUCGUCUCAUCAGAAAAAAUGGAGAAUCCGAAUUGUGUCGAGAGUCAGUUUAUGUUCAAUAAUGUCAUCUUCUUCUGCGAACGUCUCCUUGCUGAAUUCCCCUCUGAGGUGAACUUGCAAUUGUUAUAUCAGUACAUGAGCGAGAUAUUUAAACAAGAAAUGAGCCAGUAGAGCCUGAUUGAGAUCUUCAUUGUUGGAGAAAACUUGGAAUUUGAUACUUGAACUUGCUAAAGUCACUUUGAAGAUACCCAUGAUAUUGAAUUUAGUCUUUUGUCCCCGUUUGUGUAGGUUGUUCAACAUUCUAGGCUUUUUGGCAGGAAUGAAGAAGUGACAAGUGAAGCUGAUGAAUGGAGAUGUUCAGUACUUGAGACAAGCUGGGAAAUCAAGUUUCAUUAUCAGUGCAGAACUCGCUGCAGCAAACAAGUAGUCCCCAAAACAUUGUUGAAGCAAUACUAGCGAGCGCUUUUGCUAAGAAAGACUACAAAAGAGCUGCAGCUACAGCUUCUCGUGUACUGCAGUUGGGAUUGGUUCUCGGGUUUCUACUCGCGGCUAUACUUGGAGCAGCGUUGCAUUUUGGAGCAAAAGUGUUUACAAAAGACGAUAAAGUUUUACACCUCAUUAGCAUAGGACUUCCGUUUGUCGCAGGGACACAACCAGUCAAUGCUUUGGCGUUUGUAUUUGAUGGAGUUAACUUUGGAGCAUCCGAUUUUGGUUACGCCGCAGCUUCACUGGUGGCUAUAGUUUGCAUUUUGUGUUUGCUCUUCCUCUCAUCGACUCUUGGUUUUAUUGGACUUUGGUUUGGUCUCACUAUAUAUAUUGUCUUUGAUGUUUGUAGUUUAGGAUUCUCAAACAUUGGAUUUGAUGUUUGUAGUAUUUUACCUCUGCUGUUAAUGUGAUUGUUGCCUACAUGAAUAAUUCUUGGUUAUAGGAUAGCCACUAGUCAGUGUCUCAAACUUUGGUUUUGUGAUUC